UUCCUCAUCUAAUUGGAAACAAAGCCUAUUUACACAAUAAAACAUAUUCAUAAGAGGCCGUGCUGGCAAUUUGAGCCCCCUUCCAUCUAAUGAGAUAGCUCAACUAAUCCAAAUAAAUUUAUUUUUAGUUUUUCAUGCAGAUUGAAUGAUCCAAAUUAAUUCAUAUAUAAAAUCAAUUAUUAAUACAAAAAAGUCGUCACAUCCUCAACAUCUUCUACAGUUC